rnacentral:tRNA from 1 species
GGUGGGUUGGCUGAGUGGUUUAAAGCGGAGGUUUGCUAAACCUCUGGCGCUCUAAAAGGUGCCGCACAGGUUCGAAUCCUGUACCCACCGCCA